rnacentral:rRNA from 1 species
CACGUAGGGGACGAGCGUUGUCCGGAUUCAUUGGGCGUAAAGCGCGCGUAGGCGGCCCGGAAAGUCAGAUGUGAAAACCUGGGGCUCAACCCCAGGCGUGCACCCGAUACUCCCGGGCUGGAGGCAGGUAGGGGAGAUCGGAAUUCCUGGUGUAGCGGUGAAAUGCGUAGAUAUCGGGAGGAACACCAGUGGCGAAGGCGGCUUCCUGGACCGGUUCUGACACUGAGGAGCGAAAGCGUGGGGAGCGAUCCGG